GAUGAACGCUGGCGGCGUGCCUAAUACAUGCAAGUCGAGCGAACGGACGAGAAGCUUGCUUCUCUGAUGUUAGCGGCGGACGGGUGAGUAACACGUGGAUAACCUACCUAUAAGACUGGGAUAACUUCGGGAAACCGGAGCUAAUACCGGAUGAUAUUUUGAACCGCAUGGUUCAAAAGUGAAAGACGGUCUUGCUGUCACUUAUAGAUGGAUCCGCGCUGCAUUAGCUAGUUGGUAAGGUAACGGCUUACCAAGGCAACGAUGCAUAGCCGACCUGAGAGGGUGAUCGGCCACACUGGAACUGAGACACGGUCCAGACUCCUACGGGAGGCAGCAGUAGGGAAUCUUCCGCAAUGGGCGAAAGCCUGACGGAGCAACGCCGCGUGAGUGAUGAAGGUCUUCGGAUCGUAAAACUCUGUUAUUAGGGAAGAACAUAUGUGUAAGUAACUGUGCACAUCUUGACGGUACCUAAUCAGAAAGCCACGGCUAACUCCGUG
rnacentral:rRNA from 1 species